GUAUGACUCUCGACAACGGAUAUCUUGGCUCUUGCAUCGAUGAAGAACGUGCGAAAUGCGAUACUUGGUGUGAAUUGCAGAAUCCCAUGAACCAUCGAGUCUUUCAACGCAAGUUGCGUCCGAAGCCAUUAGGCAGAGGGCACGCCUGCCUGGGUGUCACAC
rnacentral:rRNA from 1 species